rnacentral:misc_RNA from 1 species
CGCACAUUGCGCCCCUUGGUAUUCCACUGGGCAUGCCUGUUCGAGCGUCAUCUACACCCUCAAGCAACGCUUGGUGUUGGGCACCUGUCUGCGCUGUGGACUUGCCUUGAAUCUAUUAGAGGGUCUACCGGGCUUCCCACGCAGCGCAUGCGUCUUGGGACCAGCCCCGGUGGAGUCCUUUUGACCACCAAACUCUGACCUCGAAUCAGGUAGGGAUACCCGCUGAACUUAA